rnacentral:rRNA from 1 species
CAGUAGCCGCGGGAAUACGAGGGGGGCAAGCGUUGUUCGGAAUUAUUGGGCGUAAAGGGUGCGUAGGCGGCUUGACAAGUCCUGUGUGAAAUCUAUGGGCUCAACCCAUAGUCUGCACGGGAAACUGUCGGGCUUGAGAAUGGGAGAGGUGAGUGGAAUUUCCGGUGUAGCGGUGAAACGCGUAGAUAUCGGAAGGAACACCUGUGGUGAAAGCGGCUCACUGGACCAUUUCUGACGCUGAUGCACGAAAGCUAGGGGAGCAAACAGGAUUAGAUACCCCAGUAGUCCCUGUCUCUUAUAC